rnacentral:rRNA from 1 species
GGUGCCAGCAGCCGCGGUAAUUCCAGCUCCAAUAGCGUAUAUUAAAGUUGUUGCGGUUAAAAAGCUCGUAGUCUGAGUUCUGUUCCGGACUGGUCGGGGAGGUCACCGCCCGGUGCUUCCCCGUCAGGUUCCGAACAGCCUCCGCCGCGAGCGGGGGCCAAGCCGGUUCUGCCGGGGUGCUCUUGACCGAGUGUCCCGCGCGGCCGGCCGGUUCACCUUGAACAAAUGAGAGUGCUCAAAGCAGGCUACUCUUGACACUAAAGCCCGAAUGUUAACUGCAUGGAAUGAUGGAAGAUGAUCUCGGUUCCAUUUUGCUGGGUGGUGGGAAUCCGAGUUAAUGAUAAACAGGGACUGUCGGGGGCAUCCGUACUACGACGCGAGAGGUGAAAUUCAGUGACCGUCGUAGGACGAACAACAGCGAAAGCAUUUGCCAAGAAUGUCUUCGUUGAUCAAGAACGAAAGUUAGAGGAUCGAAGGCGAUCAGAUACCGCCCUAGUUCUAACCCUAAACGAUGCUGACCAGCUAUUCGCCGUCGUUAUUCCCAUGACGUGGCGAGACGCCCCCGGGAAACCUCGAGUCUUUGAGUUCCGGGGGUAGUAUGGUUGCAAAACUGAAACUUAAAGGAAUUGACGGAAGGGCACCACCAGGAGUGGAGCCUGCGGCUUAAUUUGACUCAACACGGGAAACCUCACCAGGCCCGGACACCAGAAGGAUUGACAGAUUAAGAGCUCUUUCUCAAUUUGGUGGGUGGUGGUGCAUGGCCGUUCUUAGUUGGUGGAGUGAUUUGUCUGGUUAAUUCCGGUAACGAACGAGACUCUGGCCUACUAACUAGUGGGCGGGUGUUCCGGUAAGGGGCCCCGCCCGACAAUGUCUUCUUAGAGGGAUGAGCAGCGAGUAUAGCUGCAGGAGAUUGAGCAAUAACAGGUCU